AACGAACGCUGGCGGCGCGCCUAACACAUGCAAGUCGAACGGGAUUAGGGGCUUGCUCCUAAUCUAGUGGCGCACGGGUGAGUAACGCGUAGAUAAUCUGCCUGAUGAUCUGGGAUAACACUUCGAAAGAGGUGCUAAUACCGGAUAAGCCCACGGGUUCUUUGGAAUCUGCGGGAAAAGGGGGGGACCUUCGGGCCUUCUGCCAUCAGAUGAGUCUGCGUAACAUUAGCUAGUUGGUAGGGUAAUGGCCUACCAAGGCGACGAUGGUUAGCUGGUCUGGGAGGAUGAUAAGCCACACUGGAACUGAGACACGGUCCAGACUCCUACGGGAGGCAGCAGUGGGGAAUUUUGCGCAAUGGGCGAAAGCCUGACGCAGCAACGCCGCGUGAGUGAUGAAGGCUUUCGGGUCGUAAAGCUCUGUCAAUGGGAAAGAAGUGUAUUGUGGCUAAUAUCCGCGAUACUUGACGGUACCCAUAAAGGAAGCACCGGCUAACUCCGUGCCAGCCGCCGCGGUAACAC
rnacentral:rRNA from 1 species